AUCCUGGCUUAGGACGAACGCUGGCGGCGUGCCUAAUACAUGCAAGUCGAACGGUCUUUCUAUGGAAGCUUGCUUCCACUGAGAAGAUAGUGGCGAACGGGUGAGUAACACGUGGGUAACCUGCCCAUAAGAGGGGGGAUAACAUCCGGAAACGGGUGCUAAUACCGCAUAGUUUUCUUGAUCGCAUGAUCGGGAAAGGAAAGACGGCCUUUGUGCUGUCGCUUAUGGAUGGACCCGCGGCGUAUUAGUUAGUUGGUGAGGUAACGGCUCACCAAGACGAUGAUACGUAGCCGACCUGAGAGGGUGAUCGGCCACAUUGGGACUGAGACACGGCCCAAACUCCUACGGGAGGCAGCAGUAGGGAAUCUUCCGCAAUGGACGAAAGUCUGACGGAGCAACGCCGCGUGAGUGAAGAAAGGUUUUCGGAUCGUAAAACUCUGUUGUCAGAGAAGAACAAGUUGGAGAGUAACUGCUCCAGCCUUGACGGUAUCUGACCAGAAAGCCACGGCUAACUACGUGCCAGCCGCAGC
rnacentral:rRNA from 1 species